rfam:Rattus norvegicus chromosome 4, whole genome shotgun sequence.
GGGAAAUGGGGGGAGAGACCAGCCCCAGGCCUCCAAAAAAGUGUGUGGGGCA